GCUGGGUGCAGUGGUGCAUGCCUGUAAUUCCAGCUACUUGGGAGGUUGAGGCAGGAGGAUCUUGAGUUCAAAGACAGUCUCAGCAAAAGUGAGGUGCUAAGUAACUCUUGAGACCCUGUCUCUA
rnacentral:sRNA from 1 species